UGUUUGAAAUUUCAUCCAUUUGUACUAUUAAAAACUGAUGUGGCUGAUAAAAUAAUCAAAUACUAACACGUGGCAUGCCAUAUGUAUCUCAUGCUGACAUACAAAGAUCAAAUUUGAAUAGCAAAAAUGGAUGAAAUUUUUAAUA
rfam:Gossypium raimondii Chr04_contig_231, whole genome shotgun sequence.